rnacentral:rRNA from 1 species
GACGAACGCUGGCGGCGUGCUUAACACAUGCAAGUCGAACGGAAAGGCCCUGCUUUUGUGGGGUGCUCGAGUGGCGAACGGGUGAGUAACACGUGAGUAACCUGCCCUUGACUUUGGGAUAACUUCAGGAAACUGGGGCUAAUACCGGAUAGGAGCUCCUGCUGCAUGGUGGGGGUUGGAAAGUUUCGGCGGUUGGGGAUGGACUCGCGGCUUAUCAGCUUGUUGGUGGGGUAGUGGCUUACCAAGGCUUUGACGGGUAGCCGGCCUGAGAGGGUGACCGGCCACAUUGGGACUGAGAUACGGCCCAGACUCCUACGGGAGGCAGCAGUGGGGAAUAUUGCACAAUGGGCGGAAGCCUGAUACAGCAACGCCGCGUGCGGGAUGACGGCCUUCGGGUUGUAAACCGCUUUCGCCUGUGACGAAGCGUGAGUGACGGUAAUGGGUAAAGAAACACCGGCUAACUACGU